rnacentral:tRNA from 2 species
GGGAGUGAAGCUCAAAUGGUAGAGCGAGUGCUUUGCAAGCAUUAGGCUGUCGGUUCGAUUCCGAUUACUUCCA